AGGCGAUGAUGGGUAGCCGGCCUGAGAGGGUGAUCGGCCACAAGGGGACUGAGACACGGCCCUUACUCCUACGGGAGGCAGCAGUGGGGAAUAUUGGACAAUGGACCAAGAGUCUGAUCCAGCAAUUCUGUGUGCACGAUGAAGUUUUUCGGAAUGUAAAGUGCUUUCAGUUGGGAAGAAAAAAAUGACGGUACCAACAGAAGAAGUGACGGCUAAAUACGUGCCAGCAGCCGCGGUAAUACGUAUGUCACAAGCGUUAUCCGGAUUUAUUGGGCGUAAAGCGCGUCUAGGUGGUUAUGUAAGUCUGAUGUGAAAAUGCAGGGCUCAACUCUGUAUUGCGUUGGAAACUGUGUAACUAGAGUACUGGAGAGGUAAGCGGAACUACAAGUGUAGAGGUGAAAUUCGUAGAUAUUUGUAGGAAUGCCGAUGGGGAAGCCAGCUUACUGGACAGAUACUGACGCUGAAGCGCGAAAGCGUGGGUAGCAAACAGGAUUAGAUACCCUGGUAGUCCACGCCGUAAACGAUGAUUACUAGGUGUUGGGGGUCGAACCUCAGCGCCCA
rnacentral:rRNA from 1 species